rnacentral:rRNA from 1 species
UAAAAUAAUUAAGGGCACACAAAGGAUGCCUAGGUAGUAAGAGCCGAUGAAGGACGUGGUAAGCUGCGAUAAGCCUAGAUAAGUUGCAAUCGAACGUAAGAGUCUAGGAUUUCCGAAUGGAGCAAUCUAUUAAGAUGGAGUCUUAAUACGAAAGAGGGAACCGCGUGAACUGAAACAUCUAAGUAACGCGAGGAAAAGAAAGUAAAAACGAUACCCAAAGUAGCGGCGAGCGAAAUGGGUCAAGCCUAAACCUUAAAUAUGUCAAGGAUACAGCCGUUGUAUUUAAGGGGUUGUGGGACAGAGUGAUGAAGAACUGUAAGAUAUUCAAUAUAGUGUAUUGAUGAAUUAGAAUUGUCUGGAAAGGUGAACCGCAGAAGGUGAAAGUCCUGUAUAAGUAAAUCCUUACACAUAUAACUUUGCUCCCAAGUAACAUGGAACACGAGGAAUUCUGUGUGAAUCUGUGAGGACCAUAUCUCAUAAGGCUAAAUACUCUUACUAACCGAUAGCGCAUAGUACCGUGAGGGAAAGGUGAAAAGAACCCCUGGAGGGGAGUGAAAUAGAACCUGAAAUUGUGUGCUUACAAGCGGUCAGAGCCCAUUUGGGUGAUGGCGUGCCUUUUGGAGAAUGAUCCUGCGAGUUACGUUAAACGGCGAGGUUAAGUAUAACGGAGCCGAAGGGAAACCAAGUCUUAAUAGGGCGAUUUAGUCGUUUGGCGUAGACGCGAAACCUGGUGAUCUAAACCUGUCCAGGAUGAAGCUGUGGUAAGACACAGUGGAGGUCCUAACCCACCGCCGUUGAAAAGUUGGGGGAUGAGGUAGGUUUAGGGGUGAAAAGCCAAUCGAACCAGGAGAUAGCUCGUUCUCUCCGAAAUGCAUCUAGGUGCAGCCUUGAGUGUUCAAUUAUGGGGGUAGAGCACUGAAUGAUCUAGGGGGCAUAUUGCUUACUGAAAUCAAUCAAACUCCGAAUACCAUAAUUUAUAGCUCAGGAGUGAGACUAUGGGAGUUAACUUCCAUUGUCAAAAGGGAAACAACCCAGACCACCAGCUAAGGUCCCUAAUUAUAACUAAGUGGGAAAGGAGGUGGAGAUUCACAAACAACUAGGAGGUUGGCUUAGAAGCAGCCAUACCUUUAAAGAGUGCGUAAUAGCUCACUAGUCGAGAGUCUCUGCGCCGACAAUGUAACGGGGCUAAGUUAUAAACCGAAGCUGUGGAAUCCUUUUGGAUUGGUAGGAGAGCGUUCUGUAGGCCGUUGAAGAAGAAGGGUAACCGACUUUGGAGGUAUCAGAAGUGAGAAUGCAGGAAUAAGUAGCGAGAAAGGGGGCGAGAAUCCCCCUCGCCGGAAGACCAAGGUUUUCAGGGUAAAGCUUGUCUUCCCUGAGUAAGCCGGGACCUAAGCCCAGGCUAUAAUGCGUAGGCGAAUGGAAAACAGAUUAAUAUUUCUGUGCCAGUCAUUUAUUGUGAUGGAGGGACGCAGAAGGGUAUGCGCGCGGACGAUCGGUUGUGUCCGUAGAAGUAUGUAGGAUGACUUAGUAGGUAAAUCCAUUAAGUUAUAUCUGAGGUAUGAUAUACAGUCGUAAGAUGAAUGCGCAAAUCCCACGCUGCCAAGAAAAGCUUCUAACGUUAAUAUAUGACUGCCCGUACUGUAAACCGACACAGGUGGUCAGGAUGAGAAAUCUAAGGCGGACAGGCUAACUCUCGUUAAGGAACUCUGCAAAAUAACCUCGUAACUUCGGGAGAAGAGGAGCCCUUGGGUGUUAGUAUCCAUGCGAUACAAAGCGCUCGAGGGUCGCAGUGAAGAGGCUCAAGCAACUGUUUAACAAAAACACAGGUCUAUGCUAAGCUGGAAGGCGAUGUAUAUGGGCUGACACCUGCCCAGUGCUGGAAGGUUAAGAGGAGGAGUGAGAGCUCCGAAUUGAAGCCCCAGUGAACGGCGGCCGUAACUAUAACGGUCCUAAGGUAGCGAAAUUCCUUGUCGGGU